CUACGGGUUGCUCCAGUGAGGAAUAUUGCACAAUGGAGGAAACUCUGAUGCAGCAACGCCGCGUGGAGGAUGACGCAUUUCGGUGUGUAAACUCCUUUUAUAUGUCAAGAAAAUGACGGUAGCAUAUGAAUAAGCUCCGGCUAACUCCGUGCCAGCAGCCGCGGUAAUACGGAGGGAGCAAGCGUUACUCGGAAUCACUGGGCGUAAAGGACGCGUAGGCGGGAUAGAAAGACAGGUGUGAAAUCCUAUGGCUCAACCAUAGAACUGCACUUGAAACUUCUAACCUAGAGUAUGGGAGGGGAAGAUGGAAUUAGUGGUGUAGGGGUAAAAUCCGUAGAUAUCACUAGGAAUACCAGAAGCGAAGGCGAUCUUCUGGAACAAUACUGACGCUAAGGCGUGAAAGCGUGGGGAGCAAACAGGAUUAGAUACCCUAGUAGUC
rnacentral:rRNA from 1 species